CAGAGAUAGUAACAGUUUUCAUUGGUGACUACUAUGAGGAACCGAUGGAUGUGGUGUUUUUGUUUGGCCUGAGAGGCAUCCAGCACACCCCAUCAGCAUCAAGAAUGCCGUGUGUCUCAGCACUCCAAGGCCAAUCUCACUGCCACUUUCAACCUAUUUCCAGAGGCCAAGUUUGCUGUGGUUCUGGGAGAGGACCUGGACAUGGCUGUGGGUGUUUUAUCAGUUUCCUAAGCCAAUCUAUCCACCUGCUGGAGGAAGAUGACAGCCUGAGCUAGAAUGACCAGGGUUGGGAGCAUACAGCUGAGGACCCAGCACUAUUGUACCAUGUGGAAACCAUGCCUGGGCUGGGCUGGGUGCUCAGGAAAUCUUGGUAUAAGGAGGAGCUUGAGCCCAAGUGGCCCACUCUGGAAAAGCUCUGGGCCUGGACAUGUGGUUGAGGAUGCCAAAAUAGUACUAGGGCCAAGAAUGCAUCAUUCUCAUUUCCUGAUCCUACUACUUUGGCAUCAUGGGUCUCAACAUGAAUGGCUACUUCCACGAGGCCUACUUCAAGAAGCAAGUGUUCAACAUGGUUCUAGGUAUCCAGAUUUGGAAUGUGGACAGUCUGAAGAAAGAAGCUUAGAAAGUGGAAAUUUACAGGCUACUCAACGAGGCUGGAGUUCUGGACCACAGCAAAAAUCCUUGUGAAGACUCCUUGAUGCUGAAUGCA
rnacentral:lncRNA from 1 species